GCAUUGGCAGCUGGCUCCUCAAGUGCAGGAUCCAUUAUCACAUAUAGGAUCCGUUCAUGCUUCAGGACUAUCUUCAACUUUCGGUACCAGCUACCGAAGUUAGAUCCCACCAACUUAUCAUUGUCCAACAAUGAUCGGAGCGAUAGGAAAGUGGCCAUAUUUGCACAAAGGAGAACCAUAACCUAAUUAGUAAUUGAUUCAUUAAACCUAAAGAUUUGGACUUUAAUCAAA
rnacentral:lncRNA from 1 species